rnacentral:rRNA from 1 species
UACGGAGGGUGCAAGCGUUAUCCGGAUUUACUGGGUUUAAAGGGUGUGUAGGCGGGUCUUUAAGUCAGUGGUGAAAUCUCCGAGCUUAACUUGGAAACUGCCAUUGAUACUAUUGAUCUUGAAUUCUGUUGAGGUGGGCGGAAUAUGUCAUGUAGCGGUGAAAUGCAUAGAUAUGACAUAGAACACCAAUUGCGAAGGCAGCUCGCUGGGACGUGACUGACGCUGAGACGCGAAAGCGUGGGGAGCAAACAGG